rnacentral:rRNA from 1 species
UGGGGAAUUUUGGACAAUGGGCGAAAGCCUGAUCCAGCAAUGCCGCGUGUGGGAAGAAGGCCUUCGGGUUGUAAACCACUUUUGUACGGAACGAAACGGCUCGCCUUAAUACGGCGGGCUAAUGACGGUACCGUAAGAAUAAGCACCGGCUAACUACGUGCCAGCAGCCGCGGUAAUACGUAGGGUGCGAGCGUUAAUCGGAAUUACUGGGCGUAAAGCGUGCGCAGGCGGUUAUAUAAGACAGUUGUGAAAUCCCCGGGCUCAACCUGGGAAUUGCAUCUGUGACUGUAUAGCUAGAGUACGGUAGAGGGGGAUGGAAUUCCGCGUGUAGCAGUGAAAUGCGUAGAUAUGCGGAGGAACACCGAUGGCGAAGGCAAUUCCCUGGACCUGUACUGACGCUCAUGCACGAAAGCGUGGGGAGCAAACA